rnacentral:tRNA from 1 species
GUUAUGGCUCAGCGGUAGAGCGCUCGCCUAGCAUGUGCGAGGCUCUGGGUUCAAUCCUCAACAUCACA